GCCCGAACUCACGGAUCUGACCAUCUUAACAAUCUCAACCUACUACAAUCUUAAAAAUCAUUUUCCCCACAAUCAUGCUUCUCCCAAUAGCACUCUUGUCUCCUUCAAAAUAUCUAUGAAUUAACACUACCUCCCACAGCCUCUUAAUUGCAACUGCUAGCCUGCAUUGACUCUCCUCAACUUAUUAUGCUAACAAAAAUUUAUCUCAAUGACUUGGAACAGACCAAAUUUCGUCCCCAUUACUAGUCUUAUCUUGCUGGCUUCUCCCCCUCAUAAUUCUAGCUAGCCAAAACCAUCUCCAACAAGAACCACCUGCACAAAAACACAUUUUCAUUCUAACCAUAAUUCUCACCCAACCUUUUAUCUUACUAGCAUUCGCAUCACUAGAACUAAUACUAUUUUACAUUGCAUUCGAAGCUACCCUAAUCCCCACUCUCAUUCUAGUAACACGAUGAGGAAGCCAACCAGAAGGUUUAAGUGCUGGAAUCUUCCUCCUUUUUCGCACCCACCCCAUAUUUUGUAAUAACCAAGUAGCUCUUACUUUUUGUCUCUGCCUGGGAGCUCUCUCCACACUAUUUGCCGCUACAUGCGCUCUUACCCAAAAUGACAUCAAAAAAAUCAUUGCUUUCUCUACAUCAAGUCAAUUAGGUCUAAUAAUAGUAACAAUCGGCCUAAACCUUCAACAAUUAACCUUUCUACAUAUUUCAACUCAUGCAUUUUUCAAAGCAAUACUGUUCCUAUGCUCAGGAUCCAUCAUCCAUAGCCUCAAUGGCGAACAAGAUACCCGAAAAAUAGGAGGAAUACAAAAAUUACUUCCUACAACAAUAUCAUGCCU